UACAGAGGGUGCAAGCGUUGUUCGGAAUUAUUGGGCGUAAAGCGCGUGUAGGCGGCUUGGCAAGUCGGGUGUGAAAUCCCUCAGCUCAACUGAGGAAGGGCGCCCGAAACUGCUGAGCUUGAGUACCGGAGAGGAUGGCGGAAUUCCCCAAGUAGAGGUGAAAUUCGUAGAUAUGGGGAGGAACACCGGUGGCGAAGGCGGCCAUCUGGACGGAUACUGACGCUGAGACGCGAAAGCGUGGGGAGCAAACAGG
rnacentral:rRNA from 1 species